UACAGAGGGUGCAAGCGUUAAUCGGAAUUACUGGGCGUAAAGGGUGCGUAGGCGGUGAAAUAAGUUGGAUGUGAAAGACUCGAGCUUAACUUGAGGGUUGCAUUCAAUACUGUUUUACUAGAGUACUGUAGAGGAAGGCGGAAUUUCCGGUGUAGCGGUGAAAUGCGUAGAUAUCGGAAGGAACACCAGUGGCGAAAGCGGCCUUCUGGACAGUCACUGACGCUGAGGCACGAAAGCGUGGGGAGCAAACAGG
rnacentral:rRNA from 1 species